ACAAUUCUCACCCUAGCCUAAACAUAUUAACCAAAAAUCAAUUUAUCUUGAUCUUAAACCAAUCAAAACAUUUUUUAUCUUUAGUAUAUGUGAUAAAAAAAGAAACUAGAGCAAUAGUGACAGUACCGCAAGGGAAAGGUGAAAUAAUAGUGAAAUAAUAUUUAAUAUAAAAAAGCAAAGAUUAAAUCUUGUACCUUUUGCAUCAUGGCUUAACAAGUCUAAUCAGGCAAAAUGAAUUUUAGUCUGACUUCCCGAAACUAAGUGAGCUACUCCGAAGCACUUUGACUCGUCUCUGUGGCAAAAGAGUGAGAAGACUUCCGAGUAGAGGCGAUAAACCUACCGAACCUAGUGAUAGCUGGUUACUCAGGAAAAGAAUUUUAGUUCACCCUAAAAAAAUUUAAGCACUUAAAGCAUUUUUUAGAGUUAUUCAAUUAGGGUACAGCCUAAUUGAAAUAGGAUACAACCUAAGUUUAUGGAUAAUGAUUAAACUAAUAUAAAAGUUAAAGGCUAAGUCGGCUUAAAAGCAGCCAUCUUUUAAAAAGCGUCAAAGCUUGACCUUAGAACUACUUUUAUUUGAUUAAUUUUUCAAAGUCCUUUAUUUUUACUGAGUCGUUCUAUAUUUUUAUAGAAGCAUUAAUGUUAGGACUAGUAACAUAGAAUUAUUUCUCUUUCAUGUAAGUAAAAAUCAGAUCGAAUACAUCACUGAUAUCUACCCAGUUUUGAAUAUACAGUAAUUUUGGAACCCUUCCCCGAAAACACUACUUUUUCCCCUGUUAACCUUACACAAGAACAUAUAAGAAAGAUACAAAGACUAAGAAGGAACUCGGCAAACACCAGUCUCGCCUGUUUACC
rnacentral:rRNA from 1 species